CGUUUACAAUUUCACUUCCAAUCUAUCCAUUUUCCAUUCAAACCAAUCUACACAUUUACAAUUUCACUACAUUACAAUAUUCAAAUGUUUCUAUUACAACCAUUCAUACAAGACAAUGCCAACAUACAUCAAAAUCCCAUAAUUAAACUUCAAUUCAUUUUCACUAUAACGUUCAAGUUUCAAGUACAACCACAAACCAUGUUAUUAAUCCAAGAUUUCAAAACUACAAAAAAAAAAAACACAAUUUAAACCCCACAAAUAAUCCCAAAACAACUCCAAUGCAUUCCAUGAGCACUCCCCAAAGACAAACCUAGACUAACAUGUGACCUAAGGUUCUAAUCUAAACACUCAACCACAAUUCUUCAUGACCAAUUUCCUCCGAUCCGAUGCAACCCAAGUACCAUGUGCAACCUUCAUUUUAUGAGCUCGAGCCGAAUCUCCAAUGACCUGCAAAACCAUCCGCCCAUAGACAAGAUAAGUUCACCAUUUGAUAUCAUCCAAAAUAAAGUAAAAAAAAAUGAAGAACAAGUUAACAUGAGGACAAUACACUACACCAGUUAACAUAAUUGAUACUUGACAGAAAAAGAAUUUAACAUUUUCCUGCUAAGCCACAUUU
rnacentral:lncRNA from 1 species